rnacentral:rRNA from 1 species
GACGAACGCUGGCGGCGUGCCUAAUACAUGCAAGUAGAACGCUGAAGGAGGAGCUUGCUUCUCUGGAUGAGUUGCGAACGGGUGAGUAACGCGUAGGUAACCUGCCUGUUAGCGGGGGAUAACUAUUGGAAACGAUAGCUAAUACCGCAUAAUAGUAGAUGUUGCAUGACAUUUGCUUAAAAGGUGCAAUUGCAUCACUACCAGAUGGACCUGCGUUGUAUUAGCUAGUUGGUGGGGUAACGGCUCACCAAGGCGACGAUACAUAGCCGACCUGAGAGGGGGAUCGGCCACACUGGGACUGAGACACGGCCCAGACUCCUACGGGAGGCAGCAGUAGGGAAUCUUCGGCAAUGGACGGAAGUCUGACCGAGCAACGCCGCGUGAGUGAAGAAGGUUUUCGGAUCGGAAAGCUCUGUUGUAAGAGAAGAACGAGUGUGAGAGUGGAAAGUUCACACUGUGACGGUAUCUUACCAGAAAGGGACGGCUAACUACGUG